GCUUACGGCCAUACCUAUCUGAGCACGCCCGAUCUCGUCUGAUCUCGGAAGCUAAGCAGGGUCGGGCCCGGUUAGUACUUGGAUGGGAGACCGCCUGGGAAUACCAGGUGCUGUAAGCC
ensembl:rRNA 5S_rRNA 5S ribosomal RNA